rnacentral:rRNA from 1 species
AUUAACGCUGGCAGAGUGCAUAACACAUGCAAGUCGAGCGAGACUAGUAGCAAUAUUAGUCUAGCGGCAGACGAGUGAGUAACACGUAAACAAUCUACCCUUGAAUGGCGAACAACCAAUCGAAAGGCUGGCUAAUACGCCGUACUCUCCCUUGAUGGCAUCAUCGAGGGAGGAGAGAUCCGCAAGGAUCGUUCUUGGAGGAGUUUGCGGCCCAUCAGCUAGUUGGCGGUGUAAUAGACCACCAAGGCUACGACGGGUACCCGGCCUGAAAGGGCGGACGGGCACGAUGGCACUGAGACACGGGCCAUACUCCUACGGGAGGCAGCAGUGGGGAAGUUUGGACAAUGGGCGAAAGCCUGAUCCAGCAACUCUGCGUGAGGGAUGAAGGCCUUCGGGUCGUAAACCUCUUUUACAUGGGAAGAAUACCAGCAAUGGUUCGACGGUACCAUGUGAAUAAGCCACGGCUAACUAUGU